CUCCAGCUAGGAAGUAGCUAUUUGGGGCAGGGAAAUGAGAUGGCAGGACUGUCCCUCUGAGAUCAACUCAGCGCUCUGUGGCUCCCUGGAUAAUGGUUCUGUGUGUCCAGCCCAUCCUCCGGGUCCUGGCUAGUAACCCGAGCAAGUACUAAAUUGUGCGGCAUUUCUUUUGAAGAUUGUGGCUCAGCAAUGAGAGAGAAGGGAGAUGGAGCACUUUAGAGUUUCCCGGCAGUGCUCAUAGUGGGCUGAGGUGAGCCAGGCCUUUAGCACGGAAUCUCAGGCAGAGGAGAACCAUGCGCACACAGACUUGGGUUUUGGAAGGUGCCCUCUGGCUGUGGGUGGAGGAUUCAGGUAUGACCUCAUCC
ensembl:lncRNA